AGCUUUGCAUAGUGGUAGUAUUGUAGCCAAUGAAGUUUAUAUAAAGCGCAAUUACUGCUAAUUGAAAACUUUUCCCAUUCCCCACCAUGAUGAUUUAAAUAUAGUCAGCAUUGACAAUUUCUUUUUUUUCGGGGG